rnacentral:rRNA from 1 species
GUCCACGCCCUAAACGAUGUCGACUAGGUGUUGGGGAAGGAGACUUCCUUAGUACCGCAGCUAACGCGUGAAGUCGAUCGCCUGGGGAGUACGGUCGCAAGAUUAAAACUCAAAGGAAUUGACGGGGACCCGCACAAGCGGUGGAUGAUGUGGAUUAAUUCGAUGCAACGCGAAAACCUUACCUACCCUUGACAUGUCAGGAAGUCCGCUGAGAGGUGGAUGUGCCCGAAAGGGAGCCUGAACACAGGUGCUGCAUGGCUGUCGU